rnacentral:rRNA from 1 species
CCUGUACUUCUGGUUACUGCGAUGGAGGGACGGAGAAGGCUAGGCCAGCUUGGCGUUGGUUGUCCAAGUUUAAGGUGGUAGGCUGAAAUCUUAGGUAAAUCCGGGGUUUCAAGGCCGAGAGCUGAUGACGAGUCGUCUUUUAGAUGACGAAGUGGUUGAUGCCAUGCUUCCAAGAAAAGCUUCUAAGCUUCAGGUAACCAGGAACCGUACCCCAAACCGACACAGGUGGUCGGGUAGAGAAUACCAAGGCGCUUGAGAGAACUCGGGUGAAGGAACUAGGCAAAAUGGCACCGUAACUUAGGGAGAAGGUGCGCCGGCUAGGGUGAAGGAUUUACUCCGUAAGCUCUGGCUGGUCGAAGAUACCAGGCCGCUGCGACUGUUUAUUAAAAACACAGCACUCUGCAAACACGAAAGUGGACGUAUAGGGUGUGACGCCUCCCCGGUGCCGGAAGGUUAAUUGAUGGGGUUAGCGCAAGCGAAGCUCUUGAUCGAAGCCCCGGUAAACGGCGGCCGUAACAAUAACGGUCCUAAGGUAGCGAAAUUCCUUGUCGGGUAAGUUCCGACCUGCACGAAUGGCGUAACGAUGGCGGCGCUGUCUCCACCCGAGACUCAGUGAAAUUGAAAUCGCUGUGAAGAUGCAGUGUAUCCGCGGCUAGACGGAAAGACCCCGUGAACCUUUACUGUAGCUUUGCACUGGACUUUGAGCCUGCUUGUGUAGGAUAGGUGGGAGGCUUUGAAGCGUGGACGCCAGUUCGCGUGGAGCCAUCCUUGAAAUACCACCCUGGCAUGCUUGAGGUUCUAACUCUGGUCCGUAAUCCGGAUCGAGGACAGUGUAUGGUGGGCAGUUUGACUGGGGCGGUCUCCUCCUAAAGAGUAACGGAGGAGUACGAAGGUGCGCUCAGACCGGUCGGAAAUCGGUCGCAGAGUAUAAAGGCAAAAGCGCGCUUGACUGCGAGACAGACACGUCGAGCAGGUACGAAAGUAGGUCUUAGUGAUCCGGUGGUUCUGUAUGGAAGGGCCAUCGCUCAACGGAUAAAAGGUACUCCGGGGAUAACAGGCUGAUACCGCCCAAGAGUUCAUAUCGACGGCGGUGUUUGGCACCUCGAUGUCGGCUCAUCACAUCCUGGGGCUGAAGCCGGUCCCAAGGGUAUGGCUGUUCGCCAUUUAAAGUGGUACGCGAGCUGGGUUUAGAACGUCGUGAGACAGUUCGGUCCCUAUCUGCCGUGGACGUUUGAGAUUUGAGAGGGGCUGCUCCUAGUACGAGAGGACCGGAGUGGACGAACCUCUGGUGUUCCGGUUGUCACGCCAGUGGCAUUGCCGGGUAGCUAUGUUCGGAAAAGAUAACCGCUGAAAGCAUCUAAGCGGGAAACUUGCCUCAAGAUGAGAUCUCACUGGGAACUUGAUUCCCCUGAAGGGCCGUCGAAGACUACGACGUUGAUAGGCUGGGUGUGUAAGCGUUGUGAGGCGUUGAGCUAACCAGUACUAAUUGCCCGUGAGGCUUGACC